AGUCGUAACAAGGUUUCCGUAGGUGAACCUGCGGAAGGAUCAUUAGCAAAUCGAAAUCAUGUGCGCCGCCGCAGGCGGUGCACAUCUGUCCCGGGGAGAAGGUCUGUUCGACUCUCUCUCUGUGAUUCCGGGGAGAGGGUCUGACUUUCUCCCUGUGUCAAGUGCUCCACGGAAAUGUAAAUAAUCCACCAAAAUCAAACUAAAAAACAACUUUUAACAAUGGAUCUCUGGGCUCCU
rnacentral:misc_RNA from 1 species